ensembl:lncRNA novel transcript
GGCAGGAGUAGCGUCGGAAGCAAUGGAUCCCCACGCAAUUGCACACCAACGCUAGGGGAUGAUCUCGCCCCAGCUGACUCAUUUUCUCAUUCGUGCAGCAGACAUUUAUUGAGCGCCUACUGUAUGGAUGGAUACUGUACGCCAGAGAACCGCUGCGUGGCGCUCCAAUUCAGUUCUUCACAUCCACACAGCCCUGGAGGAUUUACAAAAUACAUUAAGGUUCCUUAUCCCUCACUUUACAGAUCCGAUAUGCCUGAGUACACACCCCGUAUCUUGCCACUUAACGGCAAUCUGUGUGACCCUAGGUCACUACUUGGCUUCUCUGGGCCUCAGUUUCCUCAUCUGUAAAAUGGGGCAGUAAUUGAUAGCAAUCUAUCUCAUAGAGCUGUCCUUCUGCUAACAAAUAUUCAUGGAAUGAUUCCUAUGAGCCAUAUACUGUUGAAGGUGCUGGAUGUUCCUGUUAAGGCCUCUAAAAAUCGUAGUGAUAAUAAUAACGGUAACAGUGUUUAUUUAUUGAUACUUAUAAUGUGCCAGACGCUGUUCUAAAUGCCUUACAUAUAUUAAUUCAACAACCUCAUGAAGCUAGAUUAUUACAUCCCAAUUUGACAGCUGAGAAAACCGUCUCAAUAACCAAUUUACCCAACUAGCAAAAUGUGAGGCCAAAAUUCCAACCCAGCUUACCUAAACAAUCAACUUUGAUAUCUGACCAUGUGCCUCUAAUAUUUUGUCUUGAAAAGGGCUCAGCGGUCAUCUGUGUAGUAUUCAAACAUGUUUGCCCUGAAUCUAAUCAUUGGAAAACAGACAUAUCCAAAAGAAGGGACAUACUUCAAAACAACUGGCCUGAAAACUUCAAAAAAAGUCAAUGUUGUGAAAUACACAUGGGGAAUAAGGGGUGGGGGACAGAGAAAGGAGGCGGAUAUGCAAUUGCCUAGAUUUAAGAACACUAAAGAUGUGCAUCAACUAAAUGCAAUGGGCCAGGUGUGGUGGCUCAUGCCUAUAAUCCCAGCACUUUGGGAGGCUGUGGCAAGCAGAUCAUUUGAGGUCAGGAGUUUGAGACUAGCCUCGCCAACAUGGUGAAACCCUGUCUCUACCAAAAAUAUAAAA